CAUCAAGUAGCUUGGUUUGUAGUGCCGAAAAAAUUUGUGGUUUCUUCUUCUCUUAGAUGCCAGAGUGCGAAACCUUUUCCGGUUUUUACCAGUCUCCAAGUUUUUUCUCGUCGUGAGAAUGUUGCAUCUCUGUCUCAUAGGUAAGGGUACUAAAUGGAAUAUGACAAACAUCUAAUGGGACAACAUCACAUGUUACCUGAUCUACGUAUUUCUUGUUGAUGGUGAAUUCGAAGGUGCAUUGAGCAGUCACUUGCAGCUCUGUAUCCUUCUUCCAACCAUCCUAACGGGUAUGGGUUAGGGUGUGGUGUUGCCUUCAACUUCAGCUUUCUUCAGUAGUUGUUCGGAUAGUAAGUUUCAUUGUGAUCCGCUAUCAAAUAGAGUGAGAACUGAUGUUUUUUUAACUUGUGCAUUCACCCAAAGUAGCUCUUCUUUUUAGUAACUUGUGCAUUCACCCAAAGUAGCUCUUCUUUAGUAGAUUCCGAGAUUGGGGUUCUGGACAAGUGAUUUUGCCUUGUAUCCUAGUUGAUACUUUCUUCUUCUCAUUAUCACAACUUUGCUAUCGGGAUCAAGUGAUCCGUUAAUCACCUCAUCUUCUUCUUUUUCUUCAUCUUCUUUGUUGUAGAUGAUUGUGUUAACUUGCUUGUCGUCUUUCCACCAUGUUGGUCUUAACUCCGGAUGUAAUUUCCAACAACCUUCUUUAACUGUCGAUCAUUUGCAAUUCUCACAGUAUUGGUUGUUUUUUGCCAUAACACGAUAUCUUCCCCUCUUCACGAGCAGUGUUCACAAUCUCUCUUUCGUUUCUUGAUUGCCUUGCUCCAUAGGGUUGAUUCUUUAUCUCAAUAUACAUAGCUUUCUCGCACGCAUCGUCAAUGUCGAUUACUGAAAAUAGUUUCUUGAUUGCCUUGCUUCUUAGGUUCUUUAUCUCAAUAUACAUAGGUUUCUUGCAAGCAUUGUCAAUGUCGGUUACUGAAAAUAACUGGCAAGCCUCCUUUAUAUUUCUCAAUAGUCUUGGAAUCUCACAUUUAAUGCUAUAGCUUGCUUGUGAAAUUUAGUAGUGAACUCUUGGACAUUCUGCCCUUUAACUUAUGCAAGGAUCGCCAUUGUUUGCGUAAUCUCUCUUUAUAGCCAAUCGGGUAGAACUAGUUUUGGAUAGCCGUUCUAAAUUGUUCCCAAGUUAGUAGCCACCGGAGUUUCCAAGCAUGAUAUGUAUGCUUCCCAGUUCCCACCAAAUAAGAGCAUGACCAUCAAGUCUAAUAAAACUUACCCUUUGCUAUUCGGUAAAUCUCUUGGUGCUAAAAUAAACCUCUAAAGAUUUGAGCCAACCAUCUAACUGCUCUAGAUCUAAAUCUCCGUUAUAGGCAGGGAUCCCGGUUCUUGCCUCCACUUUGAAUGGCGAAUUGUCUAUGAACUCUAGAUGUUUUCCCAUAUUUGACUUGGAAAAGUCUUUUGGUUCUUGUUGUGUUUGUUGUAGUCCUUCCUUUGGAGUGGCCAUAUCCUCCAUUGUUUUUAUAUCUUCCUCCGAUUUCUCCAUAGUGUGUUUUCUUGCAGAUUGGAUGAUGAUGAUGAUGAUGAGACAAAUGUUUUCUUGCUUCUAUCAAUGUUAGGAUCUGACGGUAUAUUUUGCAUUGUGGAGGAGGAAAUUCAGGAAAGGAAUCUGUAGAGUGCAAGUGCUUCGCUUCUCUUACGGUUUUCUAGUUGAAGAUUGCUCUGAUUGUGCCUGGUUUUUUAUUAAUGUUGUAAACCAUUCAUAUUAGAUAUCGAGUAGCGAGUUUGCUGUUAAGAUUGUGGGACAAUUAUUGUAUGCCAUGAAUUGUCCAUUUUUCUCAUUCUUAUGUGGUUGUGUUGUGAUCAUUGUUAGUAACACUUUGUAUGAAACUUAGUACAUUGUAAUUAUUGUUGUAAUAUUUUUCUUAAUAUUGUA